AUUGAACGCUGGCGGCAUGCCUUACACAUGCAAGUCGAACGGUAACAGGUUAAGCUGACGAGUGGCGAACGGGUGAGUAAUAUAUCGGAACGUGCCCAGUCGUGGGGGAUAACGUAGCGAAAGCUACGCUAAUACCGCAUACGAUCUACGGAUGAAAGCGGGGGAUCGGAAGACCUCGCGCGAUUGGAGCGGCCGAUACCAGAUUUGGUUGUUGGUGAGGUAAAAGCUCACCAAGCCUGCGAUCUGUAGCUGGUCUGAGAGGAAGACCAGCCACACUGGGACUGAGAAACGGCCCAGACUCCUACGGGAGGCAGCAGUGGGGAAUUUUGGACAAUGGGCGCAGGCCUGAUCCAGCCAUUCCGCGUGCAGGAUGAAGGCCUUCGGGUUGUAAACUGCUUUUGUACGGAACGAAAAGGCUCUGGUUAAUACCCGGGGCUCAUGACGGUACCGUAAGAAUAAGCACCGGCUAACUACGUGCCAGCCGCCGCCGUAA
rnacentral:rRNA from 1 species